GGCUUUCCAGAUCGCGCCUGAUGUUUUGCGGCUUACAGAUCGGAAGAAUUUAAUUGUCUUUCGAAGACCUGCUGAAGCAGUCGUGUCUCAGGUUAAUCGUAUUCAUCCUUUUGAUGUCUUAACAGAAGAACAGAGGAGGUUGGCUGGUGAUGUAUGUAAGAUGUUUGAGGAUAUUUCGGCUGAGAAGAAAGGGUUGGGUAGAACUCACCUGAUUUCCCAUCACAUCGAUACUGGUGAUGCUCCUCCUAUUAAGCAGCGGUAUUAUGUCAUGUCACCCGAUAAACUUCGUGAGUUGAACCGUCAAUUGGAUGAAAUGAUCGAGAUGGAUGUUGUCGAGCCGAGUUGUAGCCCAUGGAAUAACCCCAUCACCAUGGCUCCCAAGGCUAAUGGGGAAAUGCGUUUUUGUCUGGAUAGCCGGAAGCUUAAUGAAGUGUCGAAACAUGAUGCCUACCCACUUCCUUACAUCAAUAAUAUUCUAGACCAGCUUCGAGACUCUCGCUUUCUUUCUUCUAUAGACCUGAAGGCCGCUUUUUGGCAAAUUCCCCUCACUUCUUCUUCCAAGGAGAAAACCGCGUUUACCGUGCCGUCGCGUGGCUUAUUUCAAUUUAAAGUUAUGUGCUUUGGUUUGACUUCAGCACCAGCUACUCAGCAGCGGCUGAUGGAUAAAUUGUUUGGUCCUGAAUUUGGGGGGCGUGUAUUUAUUUAUUUAGAUGACGUGGUCGUGGUUAGCAAGACCUUUGAGGAGCACAUAGAGCUCCUGCGUGAAGUUUUUGAGCGUUUGCGUUCAGCAAACCUGACGGUGAAUUUGUCUAAGUGUUGUCUGUUUCGCCGACAGUUGAAGUAUUUGGGUUAUGUUGUAGAUGAGUUGGGGUUGAGAACGGAUCCAGAUAAAAUUAAAGCUAUCACGAAUUUCCCGAUCCCCACUUGCCCUAAAGAUGUUAAAAGAUUUCUUGGUACGGCGUCGUAUUAUAGGCGAUUCAUCCGUGGUUUCAGUACAAUCGCUGCUCCCUUAAAUGCCUUGACCUCUACGCGGAAGAACAGACCCCCUUUUGUUUGGUCUCCUGAGGCUGAGCAGGCGUUUUUACAGUUGAAAAGCGCCUUGACUUCAGCACCCGUAUUAGCCUGUCCAGAUUUUUCCCUUCCUUUUGUUGUACACACAGAUGCGUCUGAUGUUGGUAUUGGGGGAAUGUUAACGCAGAUUUUUGAUGGUGAAGAGCAUCCUAUUGCGUAUUAUAGUCGUUCUUUAACUCGACAGGAGCGUAAUUACUCCGCUACGGAAAGAGAAGCGUUAGCCGUGGUGCAAGUAGUGGAACAUUUUCGACCUUACUUGGAAGGUCAUAAACCUUUUAGAAUUAUUACGGAUCACGCAAGCUUGAAAUGGUUUCUUAAUUUGCGAAAUCCGUCUGGGCGUUUAGAGCGCUGGGGUUGUAGACUCUCCCCUUAUAAUUUUAUUAUAGAGCAUCGACGUGGCAGAGAACAUCUGAUUCCAGAUUCUCUAUCCCGUACUGUACCUGUGUCCGUUGUGAAUACUGCGAUGGUGGAUCCUUGGUUUCAGAAUCUUUAUUCACGUUGUCAUGACAGACCUCAAACCUGUCCUAAUUACCAAAUAAUAGACGGUAAGCUUUAUCGUUACACUAAAAGUAAAUCAUCUUUAACGGGGGAUUUCGAUUGGAAGGAGGUAGUACCAUUGAAUGAUAGACCACGUCUGAUUACGGAAAAUCAUGAUUCUCCUUUAGGUGCUCAUUUAGGAGUCGAAAAGACGUAUAAGCGAUUGCGUCUCCAUUUUUAUUGGCCCGGGAUGUAUAAAGACGUAGAAGACUACGUGUCGAAAUGUGAAACGUGUAAAGCUUAUAAACACCCAAACCAAACCACUCCUGGUUUAUUUGGAAACCCUAAGGUUUGUCGUAGACCCUUCCAGUGCCUCAGCAUUGAUUUAGUUGGUCCACUGCCCAGGUCUCGACAACAAAAUGAAUAUCUCCUUGUAGUGGUGUGUUGUUUUUCGAAAUACGUGUUGGUCUUUCCCCUUCGGCGUGCGACUGGUAAAGUGGUGGCUCAGCGCUUGGAGGAUCAUGUUUUUCUAGUACACGGGAUCCCACAAACGGUCAUCGUGGAUAAUGGGCCACAGUUUAUUGGACGUGACGUGAGAGCCUUGUUUGAAAAGUAUAGAAUACCCCAAGUACACUAUACCCCUACUUAUUGCCCACAAGUGAACACAGUGGAACGGUAUAACCGUACCAUUGUCACAGCUGUCGCCGCACUUGUAGGUAAUGAUCAGCGUGGUUGGGAUUCUCACCUUUGCGAAAUUCAAUUUUCUCUUAACACUGCUGUUAACGAUACCACUGGUUUUACUCCUUUCCUGUUGGUACAUGGGCGUGAAGCUGUUGCUAAUGGAAAUGUCUAUGGAGACAGUGAAGAUGUGGAUGACCUUGUUAUUGAGUCCCGUGCGGACUAUGUUGACAGAAUGGGUGCGUUGAAAGAGGUAUUCCUAGAAGUAGAGAAGCAGUUAAAGAAAUCUCACUCACGAAAUGCCAAAUAUUAUAAUAGGCGUCGGAGAGAUGUCGAGUUUGAGGAAGAUGAUGUGGUUUGGCGGCGCACGCAUGUCCGUAGCGACGCUGCUAAACAUUUUUCUUAUAAGCUGGCACCUAGAUUUGAAAAAUGUAGGAUUGUUAAAAAGUUAUCUAAACUUGUUUACUUGCUGGAAGAUGAAAAUGGUAAACAUAGUGAAUGUCACGUGAAAGACAUUAAGGGUUUAGAUUGAAAGGUUGAUCUUUGUUGUGAAUAGUGGUGGUUUGUUUUCUGUUAGAUAGGUUGAUGCUGGAGGGCCAGCGUGAAUUUUUCUCGUUAUCCUCGUAAAAUUCUGGUGGGUGAGGGGGUACUGUAACACUUUUUUUUUGGCGAGAUUGAAUACUUACCGAUUUCCACAAACAAACAUUCCAACGGACCGUAAGGUCACAUAUUACAAAGUGUACAGUAUUCCCUUUGUCACUUGAUUGUGUCAUUGUAAGUGAUUCACUGAGUUUUGAUUAACUUCUAUUAAAAUUAAUUACAUUGUUUUGGUACACAGAGCAAUAAAUAACCUCACUUUUUGAAUGUCUCCGUUUGACAGAUCAAUGCGUUGCGUUUCAUUUUUUUAGUAAAAAAAAGUGUAUAACAAAAUUAAAUGUUCAAUACUAAAUUUUUAUAAAACUUAAUAUUUAGGCUCUUUAAUUUAAAUUCUAGCUAUUUACAGUAUUUUCCUCAAUGUUUAUAUUAAAAUAACAUUGUAAUGUAUCUUGAUCGAUCAUGGAUUCGGAACGUUCUAGAAAUUUGACAUAUUCUGAGUGAAACGAAACACACAGGUGACGUUCAGAAACUUGCUUGUUUGUUAUUUUUUUUCUUUCUAAAGUUUAAUUAUUUAAUUAAAUUUAAAUGAGAGAAGCAGUAUUGUGAGUUCCCAUAUCGAAAUUAUUCAAUAAGAGGCUAGUUAACACAAGUGGCAUUUAUUGAAAGUAAAGAAAAAAAUUAUACAAAACUGCUAGAUAUUGUGAUUUGUUGGAGUGACAAGUUUUCGAACGAACAUCUGAGUCACGGGUGAUGACCGGCGCUUUUUGGAGUGUCGAAGUCUUUUGCUUGGUUGGGGUGAUCGCGAACGGAAGUUCUGUUGUACGUGGUGUGAUAGUGUCCCGAAUUCCAAGAGGUCUGAACCGUGCCGUUCCCUGAUAAACGGGCAGGGCACGCAUCGCCAUCCUCUACGUUAAAAGGGAAUUUUAGAAUAAAUCCGAAAGCCCCGUGAUUUUGUGGACUCAUUGCCACGUGCUGAGUUCUGUUACUGAAGAUUUUGGUUGGACAGUGCUCGGUGGCGAGCUCUGCGCUGUGUCCUGCUUUAGCGGCUGUCGCCGGAUUUUUCCUCCGUUGAAGGUGACGAUGGUGCCUGAGAGUCGUUCCCCGACCAUGACUGGCCGAUAUGUACACUACCGAGGCCGUCCCCCACGGUCCAGGGCUACCCUACUUCAUAGGUUGGUUCCGUUUUCUAUUGAGCUUGUCAAUUAUUUUAGUUUACUUUGAAAAAGUAGAUUACCCACAUAACGAUUACAUUUUACCAAAAAGUAAAUUCCUAAAUAAAUUUACCAUUGUGAUGUAUUAUCGAUGGAUUUUGUUGUGUUAACUAUUUUUAGUUCGCUUUAUGAAGGUAAAUGAUGUGAUAAUUACAAUGAUUACAUUUUACCAAAAGGUAAAUUCCUAAAUAAGUUUACCAUUGUGAUGUAUUAUCGAUGGAUUCUGUUGUGUUAACUAUUUUUAGUCCACUUUGUGAAGAUAGAUGAUAUAAUAAUUACGAUGAUUACAUUUUACCAAAAUGUUACCUUCUAAAUAGAUUUACCAUUGUAAUGAAUUACCGUUGGAUUUUGCUGUGUUCACAUUUGCUCCAUCCUUGAGAGCGAUGGAUUGUUUUUUUUGUGUGUGUCGUAGUAAUUUAACUAAGCGAACACAAGUAAAUUAAUUUCUUUGUAUUAAUAUGCCUAUUACUACCUGUUUAAGCUGUAGGGUAUUAAUGCACCAGUGGUGCACUUACUGUAACGAUAUUUUAAUAAUAUUUUUUGUACACUAGGAGGUGUUUGGCACCGGCUGUCCCGCAGUGCCAGACGCUUGCUGCGCCCGACGGGUGCGGAGGGGGUUGAGCCGAGUGGUGGCGACUAGCGCGCUAGUAAUCUUAAGUAUUUUUAAUCAGUACCAACCAAACGGCCCAACGACCCAUCCCUUAAUUUUUCUUUUUAAAUAUUUGUGUCUAACCCACAAUUAAAUUGUUGUCAAUUUAAAUA